GGAGUGGGCGGGACGCCAGGCAGGCGGGGGACGCGGCGGCUGCCAGCCAAGGGGCCGGAGCCAAGAGAUUUGCAUUGGAAGCGCCAUCCUCUUGCGCGUCUGAUGAGGAAGCAGAACCCGGUGACCGACUGAGCUGCAUUUCUGAAGCAUUUGCUGGGUUUUGCCUCGCUAAGCCUCGGGGAGCACUGGGGCGCGGGAUGGGGGACCCUGUCACGGAGCCGACAUCUGCUCGCGCGCCUCUCCCCCGCUCACGCCGUGCCGCGGGCUCGCCCUCCCCAUCUGCAGCGCCUGCCCGCCCCGCCCAUCCUUCCUCCUGGGCAACCCAGAGGAUGGCGUGAGGACUCCUGGAAGCCCAGAGGACCGGACCAGGGGCGUGGUGGGGAGCCGUAGACCCGAGUUUUUAUCCUUCUCUGGCGCCGACACUCGGCUGCGGAAUCGAGUUUGAGCUCGGUGUAGCUGAAGUUUACAUUGUAGCUGUUUGAAAGGUAGACCCCACCUCACCCCCACCCCUGGACCAAGACCUCUGGAAGCGUCCUGCCUGGAAGCCGCUUGUGGGGAGGGCUCUCCUAGGGUCUCCAGGCUCCCGCUGGAGCACACCUGGAGAUGCCUUGGGAGUCUGAGGAACCCCAGAUUCAGCACCCCUGCUUAACCUGCUUUUAAGAAGAAAAAAAUGGAACUUGAUAAACUUCACUCAAAGGAGAGACCCACUAAUAACUCCACACACCUCACACCGAGUGAAGAUGAAUUUCACUCUGUUGCCCAGGCUGGAGUGCAGUGGCACGGUCUCGGCUCAGGGCAACCUCCACCUCCCAGGUUCAAGUGAUUCUCCUGCUUCAGCCUCCCGAGUAGCUGGGAUUACAGGCAUGUGUCACACCCAGACGCUGAGACAAUGUAUGUGUGCUCCCGGAAUGACUGGAUGAAACAAAAAGAGAGUCUGGAUGCCAUUAAAAUGUUUGACUAUUGGAUUCCCACGGUUUGGGAUGGGAAGCAGAACUCGGUGAAACUGUAGGUUCUGUGUUCAGGCCAAGCGUUGCUGAAAGGUGGAAGAAUUCAUGGAAAGAAGGUUAUACCAGAAACCAAGAUCUGCUUUUUAAAAGGGAACAUGUACGCUCAUCUUUUGGCUUGAAUUCACUGCCUUUCACUUAUGUGUGGUCCCUCCUGUGCCGAGUCAGCAUGGAGUUCAGCAGGUGGUGGAAGACAAACAGCUCAGAGCUGGACUCAGAACUUGGCAGAGUCCUGCUUUCAACUACAUGCAGCCAGAAAACUCUGGAAAACUGAACUGUUUAUUAGGGUCAAACUUUGGUAAGUCCGAUAAAGUCUGGCUCCAGGUGUCAAUCUAGUCUCUUGAAAGAAUCGCCCAGAAGCUCACUGCUGACUGGCUGGAUGUUACCAGUGGCAUACAGCCUCUGCUUGUGGGUGGAAUCCGGCAGCUCGGACACCGCCCCACGGUUCCUGAUGCAAGCCUGGGCAGGAGCUAGAGCUAGGGGCUUGCAGCCAAGGAGGAGAUAAGCCCAGGGGAGCCCUGCAGGCUAUCAAACCAUCUGCCAGCUGGACUCGCUCCAGGCCACUGGUGACCCUUGCCAUGACACCGGACACCAGUAGCAAGAAAGCCUGCAAUCCAGUAUGCUUCUCUUUUCCUUUCUACAGGACUCCUAGAGUGGAGCUAGCUCCCGUCCUUCCAAAUGCAGCAAUGACAUUAAGGACAUUUGUUCACAUGGUUCACAGUUGGUGUUGGGAAGUUGUCCUACCUGGACAUUGCUGUCAGAGCCAUGGACUAAAAUACUCAAUUCUGGCCUAAAUAAAGCAAGCUCUCGGUGUUAAAGACUUUUUUUUUUUUUUUUUUUUUUUUUUUUGAGAUGGAGUCUUGCUCUGUUGCCCGGGCUGGAAUGUAAUGGUGUGAUCUCAGCUUACUGCAACCUCCACCUCCCAGGUUCAAGCAAUUCUCCUGCCUCAGCCUCCUGAGUAGCUGGGAUUACAGGUGCACGCCACCAUACCUGCUAAUUUUUGUAUUAUUAGCAGAGGCGGGGUUUCACCAUGUUGGCCAGGCUGGUCUCCAACUCCUGGCUUCAAGUGAUCCACCCGCCUCAGCCUCCCAAAGUGCUGGGAUUACAGGCGUGAGCCACAGUGCCUGGCCUUUUUGAGGAUUAUUAUAAGUAAAAGAAAAUUCAGACCACGAACAUAGCAUUCCUUUAGGUGUUUUGCAUAGAUAUAGUUUUUUGCUUUACUGUGGGUCCACUGGGAAAAGGUUUGUGGAAAUCUGAGCAGCUGAUGUUUGUGCGCUCAGAUUCUUUGGGACCUAUCUAUAAGACUUGGCGAGGCAAUACGGCUUCCACCAUUUCCCCAGGGAAAAAGUUACUCAAGGUUACUGAACUCAUGAAACCAUGUGGAUUUCCAGCAUGUGUUAUUAUAAUCUCACUAACCUUCCGAUUUUAAAACGCUGUAACUCUGUAAUUUUUUUCUGUGGUCAGCCCUUCCCAAAGGUAUCCACCUUCCAGUUUGUCCUGUGGAGCACGCUCUUGGCAGAGUUUGGCAUUGUUUGUUAUCAGGGGGUUUGAUUUAUGUAAAAUUGCAUUAAAUCACUAAUAAGG